AAAAAAAACGACUUACAACGUAGAGAAACAAUGUGUACAUAACUUCAGAAGUGUAGGGAGAUGCAUGCAAAGAGUCAAAGAAAAAGAAAGGAGGGCGGGAUAGCACUAGAAGUGAUGUAUGUUUAUUUUUAAAUUGUAAAUCUUUAAUGGUACACAACAGUACCUUCACUGAGCUUGACCCCCAAUGUUUAGUACAUUGCUUGGCACAGAGCUGGUAAUGUUUGUUAAACGUUGAAUGAAUUGAGGCCGGUGGAAGUUUAGAAAGUAAAGCCUGAGCCUCUUUCUAUUUGAGAACAGAGAAGUAAAGAUUCGUUGUUCUCCAUAUUCUAGCCUCUUUAUCAGAAUUUGCAUUUCUUAUUCACUGACCUUUUCCUAAAAUCAAGUUCGGUCAACUUUCACGGCGUUCUCGGUGGCGCAGUCUCCCGGAGCAGUCGGGAAACUCCAGGUUUAAAUUUAUACUCCCCGUUGUCCCUGUUCUUUAAGUACGCUAGUCCCGGUUCUUUUUCGGAGCUCCCUGGACACCUGCUCUUCUGACGGGUAGCCGGGUCAGUGAGAGACUACAACUCCCGGAAGAUGACGUCAAGGAGAAAAAUCCCGUGGUUGCGUGGGGAGGGAGAGGCAUGAAGACUCGCGAGAGAACGGGGUUGAGGCGGCUGCGCGGCGGGGGUGGGCGCAGAGAGUGCGGAGGAAGGGGAGGAGGUGCCUUCCCGCAAUAGCAGGAGUGGGGCGGUGGGCGCUUCGAAUCGGGGUUGUGAGGUGCUGGGCGCCUCCGCGGACCUUGAUGCCUCUGUGUCUUGAACGCGAGAGGCAGCGAUGCAGAGGGUGGGAAAUGGCAGAGCUGCAGAUAUUACUAGAGGAGGAGAUUCCGUCUGUCAAGAGGCCGCUGAUAGAGAGUUACCAGAACCAGACCCGGGUGGCGGACUACUGUGAAAUCACCUGCACACAGACGGAGAAGAGGAAGCGCGUGUGGAGUGAGAGAGGGAAGACAUGAAGUUAAUCGCAAAAUUCUUUUAGGAAUACUUGUAUUUGCUGUAUUUUCAAUAUAUAUAUGGUUUCGGGAGGAGAUUU